rnacentral:rRNA from 1 species
GACGAACGCUGGCGGCGUGCCUAAUACAUGCAAGUAGAACGCUGAAGAGAGGAGCUUGCUCUUCUUGGAUGAGUUGCGAACGGGUGAGUAACGCGUAGGUAACCUGCCUUGUAGCGGGGGAUAACUAUUGGAAACGAUAGCUAAUACCGCAUAACAAUGGAUGACACAUGUCAUUUAUUUUAAAGGGGCAAUUGCUCCACUACAAGAUGGACCUGCGUUGUAUUUGCUCGUAGGUGAGGUAAUGGCUCACCUAGGCGACGAUAACUAGCCGACCUGAGAGGGUGAUCGGCCACACUGGGACUGAGACACGGCCCAGACUCCUACGGGAGGCAGCAGUAGGGAAUCUUCGGCAAUGGGGGCAACCCUGACCGAGCAACGCCGCGUGAGUGAAGAAGGUUUUCGGAUCGUAAAGCUCUGUUGUAAGUCAAGAACGGGUGUGAGAGUGGAAAGUUCACACUGUGACGGUAGCUUACCAGAAAGGGACGGCUAACUACGUG